rnacentral:lncRNA from 1 species
GGCUGGCGCUUGUACUCACGAACACUAUUUGGAGCUGGAGUGGACUGGCGUGCGGGCUCACCUAUGGCCUGUCGGAGGGGAUCCACGCAGAGGUUAGCAAGUCCUACUCCCAGCUGGCCAAGACCCCCUAGGUGAAGAAGAAAACGGUGAGACCAGACUGUAAAUCUAUCCUGAGCAUCACAGUGGAAUAUGACUCCUUCUGUCUGAAGGCUGGAACCAGGGGCUAGGACACAUUUGGAGGAGGACAACUGUAAAAUUCAGGUAAUGAAGAGACAUCUCAACUGCGGACUUACUACAGGCUACUCAUCAAGUACAUGGCAUAGACUCAUUCCCAUCCCCUGAAACCUGGAGGAAGACUCCCACUAUGCCAUUUAUGUCUGAGCUUUCUUGGGUGGCCCUUCUAUGCUGCUGUCUCCCCCUCUACAGUGUUAAUAAUUCUUCUGAUAAAUCUCUUACCCCAAAAGAACAAA